UACACUGGUAAAAUAAAUUAAUAAAUUGAAGUUAUUUAUUAAUAAAUUUUAAAUUAAUAAUAUUAAAAUUAUUUUUAGAACAAUGGGCUUUGAAGCAUGAAUUCCAAUGUUAUCUAAGUCUCUGAAUGGAAAACACACAAACAUAUUAAUGUUACCGGAAGUUUCUGGACUUGAUUCUAAUGUCACAUAAGUUUGCAAUAAGAAAAAAAAGAGUGACGUAAGUAGCUUUCUAGAAAGUUAUUUUGACGCUCAAGUUAGAGAAUUGUUUUUGAGGAUAUUGAAAGAACUUGUAAUGAGAAUUUGAAAAUGAGAAUAUGUAUAUAUAUUUCUGAUUACUUAGUUAGUAUUUAUAGGCCUUUUAGGAAAAUAGCCGUUGCUUCGUUAUUGGAGAUAAUCUUAAUUGAUCUGUUAAGGUUAUCUCUGUGAAAUCCGCUCUUGUUUGCUGGCGUGAUUAUUGCUCGGUGCGUAAGAUAUGCACUUUGCUUGGUUGUGAGCAUGAUUAUUACUCGGUAUAUCUUUUAUUCACCUUAUUGGGCGAAUGAAGGGAUUUUGUUCGAUCUUGUUUUAGUCCUUGGUGCUUUGUUUGGCUCGUUUGACUUUUUGACAAUCUAAAACAGUGUUUGACUUUUUUUAACUAUAAAAUUAAACAUUCAUAUAGAAUUUUGACUAUUUAACUUGAAUUUUGGGCAAGUCGAUCUCACUCGUAAAAAGGAGGCUAAUAAUUAGAUAAUGAAGAACUAUAGCACCAACAAGUCAAAGCUAAGCAAUGUCCGAAAUUCCUAUCCUUCUACUUUAGAAAUCUUGUCCAAUUAAAAAAUCAUAAUUUUUUCAACGGUGGAUAAUUUUUUUAAUUAAAAAAUUAUCCACCCUUGAAUGCAUCUAUUUAUCUGUAAAAUUAGGUUGCUUUCUACCAGAGAAGAACACCACACCAGAAUAUAUGGCUUUGAGCCUCAGUAAUCUCCUCUACACAUAUAGGUUCUUGGUAUCUCCAUACCCCAAAAUGGAUAUCGAAGAGGAAAGGUAUAACAGUAUAAAGAUACGAGUGGCUGCCGGGUGAGUGUGUUCCAUGCUAUAUGCUUGUCAAGGGAGCAGUCUUUUUGCAGAUUAACCUUGCUUUCAUUGUCUGUUCGACCUGCAAUUAAUAUAUAUAGGUCAAAUUUAUAACGCUACUGGGAAAAGGGCUAGUUACAUAUUAUCCAGUCUUGAUUACUUUCAUUUUUUCAUGAUCGGACUUCCUUUAGUUACAUACAUAAAAUACUCACCGUUAGUGAAAAGAUCAAUGCCUUUGACUUCUUUCCCUUUAUUGAAAGGUUUGAAUCUUAGUUGCUCGGUGAUUUUAUGCACUUAUGCCUUUGGCCGCUCCUUUAGACUGUAUUGAAAGGUUUGAUCUGUCGACAUGUGUGUGUGUCAUUAAUUCAUCCUUUUUUUAAAUCAUAGAUCAUAAAGGUUUUAAUCAAUCGUAUAAACAAAACUGUUUGUUUUGGUUGUAAGCUGUCAUUAUCAUUCAUGUAUUUCAGUAUAAUCGAUUUAUUUUUAUAAAAAUAUAAAAGGUUUCUUGAUAAUCUCUUAACAUUAUACAGAGAAUUUGGUUGCUUGCUACUGCAUGUUAUGCUUGGUUUUAGACUAUAGCUAGUAUGAGUCGAGUAAGCAUGACUAUGUAGUAUCCUAGCUAAGAGGAAAACUUCUCAUAACACACCUUGAAAACUCUCUUACUGGUUUUCUAAGGAUCAAUAUGGAUAUAUAUGGAGAUUAUGGGGAAAAAUGGUUUUUAAACUUGAUAUUACAUUGAUGUUUUGUGAUGUUUUGCACAAAAAACAAACCAAAAUCCUCCUUUAUUUGAAAUACAUAAGUAUGAUUAUCAAAUAGGAACUAUGAGAAUAUUAACAUAUAUAUAGGAUAGACCAUGCAGCAUAUAUUAAUUGAUAAUUUAUUCUCAUCAAACUUAAUUAAGUGGUUGGGAGGGAGAGGGAUUAGAUAGAAAAUAUAGGUUUUAGCUAUAAUUAGAGAUGGGAGAUGGUUGAUUUACUCAUUUAAUGUAAACUAGUGCUGGUAGGGCUAGGGGUGGCGGUGACAAUGGUUAGUUUGAUAAAAGCUGUCAAUGAUGAUAGUGGUGUUAGUGGCAGGGCAAUGGUGUUGAUGAUAGUGUUGGUGAUCAAUAUGUAUUGUCAUAAUAUAUGGUUGCUAGUGGUGAAAAUAGGUUAUUUCACUCUGAAUAUCAUGACAAUUAAGGAUAAAAUUUUGUAAUGUUUAUGGUAAUUUAAUUUCUCA